UACAGAGGUGGCAAGCGUUGUUCGGAUUUAUUGGGCGUAAAGGGUUCGUAGGCGGACCGGAAAGUCAGAUGUGAAAUCCCACAGCUCAACUGUGGAACUGCAUUUGAAACUUCCGGACUAGAGUGUGAGAGGGGUAAAGGGAAUUCCCGGUGUAAGGGUGAAAUCUGCAGAGAUCGGGAGGAACACCAGUCGCGAAGGCGCUUUACUGGCUCACUACUGACGCUCAGGAACGAAAGCUAGGGUAGCAAACGGG
rnacentral:rRNA from 2 species